UCCGUAGGCGGUGUGGUAAGUCGAUAGUGAAAUCUCUGGGCUUAACCCAGAGGCUGCUAACGAAACUGCCAUGCUAGAGUGUGAGAGAGGCGAGUGGAAUUACGGGUGUAGCGGUGAAAUGCGUAGAUAUCCGUAGGAACAUCCGAGGCGAAGGCGGCUCGCUGGAUCACAACUGACGCUGAGGGACGAAAGCUAGGGGAGCAAACAGGAUUAGAUACCCUGGUAGUCCUAGCCCUAAACCAUCAGGACUUGGGGUUUGCCCUGUACGGGGCAAGUCCCGUAGCUAACGCGUUAAGUCCUGCGCCUGGGGAGUACGGUCGCAAGGCUGA
rnacentral:rRNA from 1 species